AUUCUUAUCCUGUGACCUUGGUACACAGCUCCACACCUGUGACCUUGGCACAGGGCUCCACAAUGCGGAGCAUAUCCUCUGUUAUCCAGUGGAGAACAGUCUCUCCGAUGAGUUCCAGAAGGUAGAGGACCUCUGUUGAUUGUACUCAUAGGGAGAGGCAGCAAGCAAUGAGGACUCCCCCUUCCACUGCUGCCUCUGAAGAUGGAAGAAGGGGCCACAGGCCAAGGAACGUGAGUGGCCUCCAGAAGCCAGAAAAGACAAGAAAAUGGAUUCUCCCCUAAAACUUCCGGAAGGAGCACAGUUCUGCCGACGCCUGGAUUUUCGCCCAGUGAGACUGUCAACUAGAAAAUAUAGUCACAACCUGAAAGCUGACAGUUAUUUUGUUUGGUGGGAAUGUUUAGGACUCCAAACCCAGAAGACAGCAUCUCAGUUAUCUCUGAGAAAACUGCUCCAAUGAGACCAGCCUCUGCUCAGAUGAAAGCCUAGCUGUUACCUGUCUUCCCUGAGCCCUGAAGGCUCUGAGGCUCCUGAUGCCCACCGGCCACUCUUUGAGGCUUGACCUGGAAUGCUUGCCUCUCAGUGAUCUGCCCAGCUGCCCCGUCAGCUUUCUUACCCAGCACAGUGAUCUCAUCAACAAACUAUGUGAACAAGAAAGACAGUUUCUAAAGAAAGAUCACAAGGACUCAACAAGGCUGCAAAGGAGGCUGUAACAGGAGGAGAUGGUGAUGACCCUACCCCUCUCCCAUCUCAAUGAUUAACUAAGAUUACAUCCCUUUUUAUCUUUUAAAAACUUCCAUCACCAAGAAAAACCCUCAGAGUUGAUUUUCUGCGGACACUGAGCCUCAUCUCCCCAAAUUGUUGGCUUUCUGAUUAAAAGCAGGGUUUUCCAUUUCUAAC
ensembl:lncRNA